CAACAGUCAGAAUUUUCCUGCCUGGGACCUAGGGCAGCUGAUUAAGCACUCCUGUUAGCUCACAGUCUGGCCCUGGCUGAUUUUAAGGCCUUGCUUUGUCCCCUCCACAGAAAGCAAACUAGAAGACCUAAUUGCAAGACCACUUUGACCUUUGAUUCCAGAUCCUGACAGACGGAAAUGUUUCAAUCAGGCCAAAGCACAGAGACCUCUCUAAUGAGGAUUUGUCAGGACCUUCUGUUUGAUAAAGGGUGGAUCCUAUUGCUGUGUCAAUUUUCUCUCUCACUGAUGUUCCCCUGGCCUUUGAUAGCACAGAUCACACACACAUAGGUGUGCCUUUCAUGUUCCUGAGCCUCACGGGCAGGGGUCUGCCCAGCCAUCAUUAAUAUGCACCUUGGUGCAGCUGGUGGGGAAAUUGAUGGAAAUAAAGGAGCUGAGGUUCCCUUUUAUGUGAGCUCAGGAAACCCACCAUACAUCAGUGUUAAAAUAGAGAUUGCUCUCCAGAAGGAAAGAGAUCCAUAGAACAAUUGUAGUCAUUUGCAUUCGUGACAUUCCCAAAUGAGGACUAUUUACUGUUGUCCUAAACAUUAAGGAGCUCCCUUAAACAUCACCCAGUCCAAUGCCCUUCCCUGUACCAUCUUUGAAUCAGGUACUGCAUUGGCGGGAGUUUUUUGAUUUAAAACAAUGGAGGUCAAUUCUGGAAAACUUGAGCAAAAAGGGAAGUUACCUGAGGUUGGAGACUCCAUUUAGAGAUGAGACAAAAACCAGUGAUGUUCUGGGAACAGGCAGAGCUCUUUAGCCAGCUAUGCUAAGCACCACCUCUGGAAUAAAUGUCCUCCAUCCAUUUUCCCACCCAUUAUGGUUUAGAUAUAAGGUGUCCCCCCAAACCUCACGUGUGAGACAAUACAAGAACAUUCAGAGGUGAAAUGAUUGGUUGUAAGAGCCUUAACCUCAUCAGUGCAUUAAGCCAUCUGAAUGGAUUACCUGGGUGGUAACUGCAG
rnacentral:lncRNA from 1 species